rnacentral:lncRNA from 1 species
GCCCCGCCGCCGCGGGAGCCCCCGGAGCCCCCGGAGCAGCGGGAGGCUGGGGCCCGCGGGGCUCCGUCCCCUCCCCGGCUCGAGCGUCUGCAGAGCAGGCUCGCACCGGUGCUGAAAGCCCUGGGGACCCAAAGACAAGGGAACACCGAGAGGACACAGAUAGUAGAACGUGUGCCUUGGAAAAAGCGCCAGCAAGCUCUCAUUUUGGAAAAUUCUGAACUAGGCUAUGGUGACUUAGAACUUCUCCUCGUACAGCAAUUAUUCGUUUAUUGUAAGUACUUUUUUAAUACCUGUCUUCCCCUGUGGACAGUAGCUCCCUUUGGGGGAGAGACGUGUGGUUCACCACAGUGUUGCCAGCACCUGACACGUUCUUA